UACGUAGGGAGCGAGCGUUGUCCGGAUUUAUUGGGCGUAAAGAGCUCGUAGGCGGUCUGUCGCGUCGGCUGUGAAAACCCGGAGCUCAACUCCGGGCCUGCAGUCGAUACGGGCAGACUGGAGUUCGGCAGGGGAGACUGGAAUUCCUGGUGUAGCGGUGAAAUGCGCAGAUAUCAGGAGGAACACCGGUGGCGAAGGCGGGUCUCUGGGCCGAUACUGACGCUGAGGAGCGAAAGCGUGGGGAGCGAACAGG
rnacentral:rRNA from 1 species